CUUAAUCGUAUCCAUAGUCAAGAUUUUAAUUAAUUUAUAACCCGAAUCAACCCAAAUUUUGUUACCCAACAAUCCCUUACAAGCUGAUCAAUCUCGCCAUCUAUUGGCGUAAAGUUCUGAAAAUCGAUGCCGUUAUGUGGUAAACUGUCAAGCACAUUUGUUAUUGUUAUGAUUAACAGUAUCAUUAUUAUUAUUAAUUUACUAAUAUUCUUUAUUUUGUCAUAAUAGGUUAUCACCAUUGUACAUUUAUAAUCAUCCAAGUGAAACACCCAAAUGAAAACUAUCAACUGGUCUCUUCGAGAGUAGGCGGGAAAACAGUUUAGUUUAUGGAUAAUAACAAUCUCAUCUUAACAAUAAUUAUGGUUUGAGUCGAUAAAAUCUCAGGCAUUUUAUUCACUCCUUUCUACUUUUGCUGUUCUCCCCUUUCACAGGACAAGUUAAUGAACUGUACUGGAUUCCAUGUCAAUUUCAACUCUACCAUGAUAAGGCAUGGCAAAAUGGUGUUACAUAUUUAAACCUUCAAAGGGGAAAAGGAUCAAAAUGAUCGGAUUGCGAGUUAAUCUAGUCUCUCCUAAAUAAUUAAAGAUUGCUGCACCAGAGGUUGACUCCAGGACUAGGAAAAGAUAGCAAAAAUGGAGAAAGAAAAGGAAAGAAAUUUCCAAAUAAAUACAUGAAAUUAAUUGGCAAAUUUCAAUCUAAACCAGGCUGUGAGAAUAAUCUGUUGAUUUGGAUAUCGUAAUGUUUUGUUUCACAUGUGACGUCCCAUUCGAUUGACGAUUGUAAUAUUGACAAUUACAGAUGAAAACAAAAGUCAAUCCAUCAACCUGUCAAUAAGAGACAAACAUGUAACUGACUGAUUGAUAUGUCUUUCAACCUUUUAAUCUGCUGUUCAUUACCAUAAUAUCCAAUCUCAUGGUACGGAAAGCUGAUUAAAUGCUAUCAAUCUAAUUCAUUUAAUCGGGAAUCAUGUUGUGCAGAUAUAAAGGCUGUGUGUUAUGGUGAACCACCAACUGGAUUAAAGACGACUAAAGUUGAUACAUCCAAGGGACAAAUAAUGAUCCAUGUAAAUGAUUUCAAUAGAGACGGAACUAACGCAACCAUUAUAAUCAACAUACUGUUGAUCGUUAAGUUUACUGGUUAAUUGGAUUGAAUUUAGGAAAUAACACGCAUUUUGUGCACCAAAUGUAAUGUCAGCCAUGAUUGUGCCUUGACUUGUCUCUUCUAACCCACAGCCUGUUGUAUCUUAAACCUAAAGAUGAAAAAAAUCAGCAGGGAUGUUGUAGCUAAUGAUUUCAUCUUUUAAUUUGCUAACUACAUUUGGCUUCUCAACCAAGGAAUACCUAACAACAGCGUCUAUCACUGUCAACCAGUCAUUUAACAAGUCGCCUUCAAUGAACCAUUGAUAAUGUUUUUAUCAAAGAAUUAUUCAAUCUGUGAUUCAAUCAUUUUCCCCGAUAAUGUAUUUGCAUACAAUUUCCUCUCUAACAUCUCUGUACUUGGUGGUGGAAAAAAUGGUGUCAAUUCUUCAUCUAUCAUCACUAUCAUCGAGUAAUUGUAAUCAAGUUUAAUCUUUCUCUCUCACCAUCUUCUCAAUCAAUUAACCAAUUCAUCUCUAUUUGUGUAUUCAUCAACAGUAAACCUGUUGAGAAAUUAUUGCUUUACCUGUUUAAUGCUCAGUGAAUUGGCUUGUUUCCUUGAUUUGUUGAUUUAAAUCAAUUACAUUAUUCUAUUAUUGUAAACAAAGGGGAUUGAAACAUAAUUAAUCAUCUAAUUUUACUUCCAUUUUUAGUUGGUAUUGAUUGGUAACCCUAAGGCAAUUGGUAUAAAUGUGCUAAAAAACUUAUUACACUUGCCGUAAGAUCACAUUUGAAUAAACAAAUGUACAAAUCAUUUAAAAUUAAAUAUUCAACUGAUUCCUUUGA